CAAUAACGCUAUUGCUGGCAAUUUACUUGAAAGGUUAAAAAAUUUGUGGCAAUUAAUUGAUGAAUACCUGCAAUUAUGACAAUUGCUACUAAAAAUUGUAACUUCGCGUUAUAACUACUUUACCACUUUUUUCUCUUUUCGUUAACCUUUUUUUAUCUGAUUGCGGAGCCUUUUUCUUCGUGCUGUGAGAGAAGCGGAGAGGCGGUGAAGGUGAACCAGAGGCGGCGGCGAAGGUGAACCAGAGGCGGCGGCGUCGAACCCUAGCAGUGCCGUCCAGAGGAAGCGCAGUGGUGUCCACCGAUCUUGACGGCGAGCCAAAUUGGGAUCGCGCAUAGUGCAGGAAAUGAUAGAAUUCUCCAUUUUCCCGAGAAAGUGAAAGAUCUCUUCUCUCACUCUGUUUCAAUCUCUUCACUCCUUUUGUUCUUGAUGUGUAGGUAAUCGGAAUCACGCCGAAGAUGACGAUUGAAAACCACCUCGUGUUGUUUGCUCCCAUUGCAACGGUAAUAGCAGCUAGACGAAGCAGAAGCACAUCUUCCCCCUGUGACUGCAAGCUUCACCGAGGGAGCAGAAGGUUUCGGUGGGACACAAUGAGUAGCGUGUUCAAGCCUUCAAGGGAUAUGAACGCCUACGAGCUUUCCGUGAAUCAAGUAAAAAAAUGUGCGCCGCAGCUGGUGCUCUUGAUGGAGGUGAUGCUGAGUUUUGGGUUCUUUUGGCCGAGUUGCUGGGAAUAUGAAAGGUAAUUUCCAAAGGGGAAAGAAAGAAUACUGGGGAAGAAGGUUGUUUAAUAAUAUGAAACUCUUGAUUGGUUAUGCCUUUAAACACUAUGAACAAGCAAAAUCCACCAAGAAAAUCGUGUUGAGCUUCAAUGCCAGGUUGCAAACAUGUCUCCCAACAUACUAUCAAGGGAAAUGAAAAUUUGUUGUCUUGUUCCUGAAUUGUAAUCACCAAGAAAAUUACUUCUCAAUAUCUGUGUAGCAUCUUCACAAAAGUAAAGCUUGAGUGCUUGACAUAAAGUGCUGGAGAUUUAAAUUUAUAAGCUUUUGAAGUUCUGGUUCUAGCUCAAGUCCUCUUUCAAGAUUCUCAUCGUCCAGGAAAACGUUGACUCCUGCGUUUGAGAGAGCAGUGUAGAGAUGAGAAACGAAGCUGUGACGUGUGUCUUUUCCCCUGAAGUUGAUGAACACGUCGUAUAUCCAUUGAUGAUUCGAGGAUGAAGAAGACAUUGAAAUGUGAUUUUGAUGAAAGGAAGAAAAGGAAUUGAAGUCAAGUCAACCCUUUGAGUUAGAUAAGGCAGAAAUGGAAAAUGGCAGGACACCUUUCGUCUUGUGGAGUAUAUAAUUCCUACUCCUAUAGUCCUAGCGCGCUGAUUGAUAGACUGUGCAACAUCACUGGUGAUCGGCUCCACCAUUCAAUGUCAUUAAAGGAGGUGAGUCAAAGAUGAGCUAAUAGUGUUCUAUUAUUUGUUUCUCAUGUCAACAGGGAGUUAUUCUAUUGUAACCAGGAAAUCAACAACAAGGAUGUGUAUUUUCUUCAUUAAUUAAUGUCUUAAUAAUUGUCAUUUAUUUUUAGAAACAAAGUUCAUUUAUCAUUGUUUGCAUGAAGAACUUGUCAAAAUGGAAAUAAAGAACUUGAUGCUUUUCUUCAA